rnacentral:rRNA from 1 species
UUGAACGCUGGCGGAAUGCUUUACACAUGCAAGUCGAACGGCAGCACGGGUGCUUGCACCUGGUGGCGAGUGGCGAACGGGUGAGUAACAUAUCGGAACGUAUCCAAUAAUGGGGGAUAACUAAUCGAAAGGUUGGCUAAUACCGCAUACGCCCUACGGGGGAAAGCAGGGGAUCUUCGGACCUUGCGUUAAUGGAGCGGCCGAUAUCUGAUUAGCUAGUUGGUGGGGGUAAAGGCCCACCAAGGCGACGAUCAGUAGCUGGUCUGAGAGGACGACCAGCCACACUGGAACUGAGACACGGUCCAGACUCCUACGGGAGGCAGCAGUGGAGAAUUUUGGACAAUGGGCGCAAGCCUGAUCCAGCCAUUCCGCGUGAGUGAAGAAGGCCUUCGGGUUGUAAAGCUCUUUCGCAAGGGAAGAAAACUUACUUUUUAAUAAAGAGUGAGGCUGACGGUACCUUGAUAAGAAGCACCGGCUAACUACGUGCCAGCAGCCGCGGGUAAUACGUAGGGUGCGAGCGUUAAUCGGAAUUACUGGGCGUAAAGCGUGCGCAGGCGGUUUUGUAAGUCAGAUGUGAAAUCCCCGGGCUCAACCUGGGAACUGCGUUUGAAACUACAAGGUGCUAGGAGUGUGGCAGAGGGAGGGUGGAAUUCCACGUGUAGCGGUGAAAUGCGUAGAGAUGUGGAGGAACACCGAAUGGCGAAGGCAGCCUCCUGGGUCAACACUGACGCUCAUGCACGAAAGCGUGGGGAGCAAACAGGAUUAGAUAGCCCUGGUAGUCCACGCCCUAAACGAUGUAUACUAGUUGUUGGGGGAGUUAAAAUCCCUUAGUAACGCAGCUAACGCGUGAAGUAGACCGCCUGGGGAGUACGGUCGCAAGAUUAAAACUCAAAGGAAUUGACGGGGGCCCGCACAAGCGGUGGAUUAUGUGGAUUUAAUUCGAUCUGCAACGCGAAAAACCUUACCUAGCCCUUGACAUUGCUACUACCGAAGCAGAGAUGCAUUAGGUGCCCGAAAGGGAACCGCAGACACAGGUGCUGCAUGGCUGUCGUCAGCUCGUGUCGUGAGAUGUUGGGUUAAGUCCCGCAACGAGCGCAACCCUUGCCAAUUAAGUUGCAUCAUUCAGUUGAGGCACUCUAUGGGACUGCCGGUGACAAACCGGAGGAAGGUGGGGAUGACGUCAAGUCCUCAUGGCCCUUAUGGGUAGGGCUUACACACGUCAUACAAUGGCGCGUACAGAGGGUUGCCAACCCGCGAGGGGGAGCCAAUCCCAGAAAGCCGAUCGUAGUCCGGAUUGAAGUCUGCAACUCGACUGCAUGAAGUCGGAAUCGCUAGUAAUCGCAGGAUCAGCAUGUCUGCGGUGAAUACGUUCCCGGGCCUUGUACACACCGCCCGUCACACCAUGGGAGUGGGUUCUACCAGAAGCUAGGUAGUCCUAACCGCAAGGAGGGCGCCUUACCACGGUGAGGCUUCAUGACUGGGGUG